rnacentral:rRNA from 1 species
UCCGCGGAGGGUAAGUCAGGACCUAAGGCGAGGCUGAAAAGCGUAGUCGAUGGGAAGCAGGUAAAUAUUCCUGCACCAGCUGGAAGUGACGGAUGGCAUAACUUGUACAGGCUUAUUGGAUUGCUCUGUGCAGGGGCGUUGUCCCUGGAAAUAACUCCAGCAGAGACCGUACCCGAAACCGACACAGGUGGUCAGGUAGAGUAUACCAAGGCGCUUGAGAGAACUAUGCUGAAGGAACUCGGCAAAUUGCACGCGUAACUUCGGGAUAAGCGUGACUCU